rnacentral:rRNA from 1 species
UACGAAGGGUGCAAACGUUGCUCGGAAUCACUGGGCGUAAAGGGUGCGUAGGCGGGUCUUUAAGUCAGGGGUGAAAUCCUGGAGCUCAACUCCAGAACUGCCUUGAUACUGAAGAUCUUGAGUUCGGGAGAGGUGAGUGGAACUGCGAGUGUAGAGGUGAAAUUCGUAGAUAUUCGCAAGAACACCAGUGGCGAAGGCGGCUCACUGGCCCGAUACUGACGCUGAGGCACGAAAGCGUGGGGAGCAACAGG